rnacentral:rRNA from 1 species
UACGAAGGGGGCAAGCAUUGUUCGGAAUUACUGGGCGUAAAGGGCGCGUAGGCGGAAAAGCAAGUCAGAGGUGAAAGCCCAAAGCUCAACUUUGGAAUAGCCUUUGAAACUGCUUUACUAGAAUCUCGGAGGGGAUAGUGGAAUUUCCAGUGUAGAGGUGGAAUUCGUAGAUAUUGGAAGGAAUACCAGUGGCGAAGGCGGCUAUCUGGACGAGAAUUGACGCUGAGGCGCGAAAGUGUGGGGAGCGAAAAGG